GCCCUCUUAGUCUAGUGGUCUAGGACGCUGGCCUCUCACGCCGGUAUCAGGGGUUCGAACCCCCUAGGGGGUGCCA
rnacentral:tRNA from 2 species